rnacentral:rRNA from 1 species
GCAGGGCAAGCCGACUAGACAUGCAGUUGAGCGCUGAAGAUUGGUACUUGUACCGAUUGGAUGAGCAGCGAACGGGUGAGUAACGCGUGGGGAAUCUGCCUUUGAGCGGGGGACAACAUUUGGAAACGAAUGCUAAUACCGCAUAAUAGCUUUAAACAUAAGUUUUUAGUUUGAAAGAUGCAAAUGCAUCACUCAAAGAUGAUCCCGCGUUGUAUUAGCUAGUUGGUGAGGUAAAGGCUCACCAAGGCGAUGAUACAUAGCCGACCUGAGAGGGUGAUCGGCCACAUUGGGACUGAGACACGGCCCAAACUCCUACGGGAGGCAGCAGUAGGGAAUCUUCGGCAAUGGACGAAAGUCUGACCGAGCAACGCCGCGUGAGUGAAGAAGGUUUUCGGAUCGUAAAACUCUGUUGUUAGAGAAGAACGACGAGGAGAGUGGAAAGCUCCUCGUGUGACGGUAUCUAACCAGAAAGGGACGGCUAACUACGUGCCAGCAGCCGCGGUAAUACGUAGGUCCCGAGCGUUGUCCGGAUUUAUUGGGCGUAAAGCGAGCGCAGGUGGUUUAUUAAGUCUGGUGUAAAAGGCAGUGGCUCAACCAUUGUAUGCAUUGGAAACUGGUAGACUUGAGUGCAGGAGAGGAGAGUGGAAUUCCAUGUGUAGCGGUGAAAUGCGUAGAUAUAUGGAGGAACACCGGUGGCGAAAGCGGCUCUCUGGCCUGUAACUGACACUGAGGCUCGAAAGCGUGGGGAGCAAACAGGAUUAGAUACCCUGGUAGUCCACGCCGUAAACGAUGAGUGCUAGAUGUAGGGAGCUAUAAGUUCUCUGUAUCGCAGCUAACGCAAUAAGCACUCCGCCUGGAGGAGUACGACCGCAAGGUUGAAACUCAAAGGAAUUGACGGGGGCCCGCACAAGCGGUGGAGCAUGUGGUUUAAUUCGAAGCAACGCGAAGAACCUUACCAGUCUUGACAUACUCGUGCUAUUCCUAGAGAUAGGAAGUUCCUUCGGGACACGGGAUACAGGUGGUGCAUAAUGUCGUCAGCUCGUGUCGUGAGAUGUGGAUAGUUCCCGCACGAGCGCACUCCCUAAUGGUAGCUGGCAUCAUAGGUGGCCACUCUACCGAGACUGCAGUGAAUAACCGGGAAGAAGCGGGCAU